rnacentral:rRNA from 1 species
AUUGAACGCUGGCGGCAUGCUUUACACAUGCAAGUCGAACGGCAGCGGGGGCUUCGGCCUGCCGGCGAGUGGCGAACGGGUGAGUAAUGCAUCGGAACGUGCCCAUGUCGUGGGGGAUAACGUAGCGAAAGCUACGCUAAUACCGCAUACGUCCUGAGGGAGAAAGCGGGGGGAUCUUUGGACCUCGCGCGAUUGGAGCGGCCGAUGUCGGAUUAGCUAGUAGGUGAGGUAAAGGCUCACCUAGGCGACGAUCCGUAGCGGGUCUGAGAGGAUGAUCCGCCACACUGGGACUGAGACACGGCCCAGACUCCUACGGGAGGCAGCAGUGGGGAAUUUUGGACAAUGGGGGCAACCCUGAUCCAGCCAUGCCGCGUGAGUGAAGAAGGCCU